rnacentral:tRNA from 2 species
GGGCGCUUGGCCUAGUGGUAUGGCGUAUGCUUUGCAUGUAUAAGAUCACGAGUUCGAUCCUCGUAGCGUCCA